rnacentral:ncRNA from 1 species
CACAAGUGGUCUAGGAAGGGUAGAGACUAGAGUGUAUGCGAACCUUUCCCCUGCCUCAAGGAGUUAGAGAGGUAAAACCAGAAGUGUGGUACUUAGUUGCGUUAGAACACCCGCCCAAACGAACGGCUCCGAAACAAACAAAAAAGGUGUGCCGCACUCACAAAGGAUUGCCAGUGAUAUGAUGGAAGAAGAUGGGGAUGACGUCAAGUCCACAUGACCCUUAUGGGUUGGGCCACACACGUGCUACAAUGGCAAUUACAAUGGGAAGCAACGCUGUAUCGCGGAGUGAAUGCAAAACGACUGCCUCAGUUUGAAUUGUUUUCUGCAACUCAGGCACAUAAAGUUGGAAUAGCUAGUAAUCGUAGAUCAGCAUGCCAGGGUGAAUAUGUACC